AGCACGCAGUGUGUCUCUGACCUGCUGCUGUGGGCUGUACUGGUUGCACAUCACCCCCAGGACAGCCACCAGCUCUCCCCUCCUCAGAUUUCUGUCUCAUGGUGCAAGAAAACAUGGAUUAGAAAGCCACCCAGCGGGCAUGGAAUGGAUCAGCUGUAUGCUAUCUCCCCAGCGAGCUCACAAAAGAAGCCCAAGGAACCAGCCAGCCAAGCAACAAGCCAGCCAAACAGAUAAGCUGGAGGUGGGAUCUAACCAAAUUUGCACUUUGAUUUCUGAGAACUGGAAGCUUGAAAUAUUGGAAACCUGUGUGUUUCAAGCACUAGGACUGGCCACAGGACCAAGGCCCACCGCAAGCUGAGGAUCAUCUCCUGUUGGGAGUCAUCAGCGUGACAGUGAUGGUGAUAGCCUUGCCCAGACCCAAUGCACUAAGGAUGAUUUCCAACGCUGAUUAUGGCCUUUUUGCUGCCGGAUCAACCACAAAAUCCCUCCCAGGGGCAGAGUUGUGCCACGGCCUCAUCCCUCCGAGGAUGUGGGGGAUGUUAGCAGAAACGGGGUGUGACCUACAAAGCUCAGCUCCGAGAUGGAAGGACUUGGUGAUGUCUUCAGAUGUCCGAGGUCUUUAACUGCUGUCACAGCGGGUUGGGGGUGAUGGGGAAGCCCCCGUGUGUCACCCUGAGGCUCAGGGCUGGCUGUCCUAUAGAGCACAGCGUCCCCAAGGCAGAAGAUUGCUUUGCUCACGGGCAUCUCAGCAACACGAUGCCGAAGCAGCCAAUGUGCCUCUUAACCAGGGAGACCUGUGGAGGCAGGGGAGAAGGAAAGGCUCAAUCAGUCUGAAAGUUGCUUUGUGAAAGGGAGAAAAAACUUGCUGCCAGGCUUCCUUUGGAGAGCAAUUCCACUCUGCCUUUUUCUCUCUUUCUCUUUUGGUGCCAUGCUAUUCCUCCGCGGCCAGAAGGCUGCAGGCAUUUCAGAUCUCUUCUUCAAGUCCUUGUUUCAUUAAAAAAAAAAAAAGAAAAAAGAAAAAAAAAAGGGAAAAGAAAAACAAAAGGCCUGCAGAAUGUUUUCUUCUAAGGCUCAGCAAAUGGGAAGUGCACAAUGCAGCUGUCUCUAAGCCUCUCUUCUCCUGUCUCGGGGAGAAAG
ensembl:lncRNA